AAAAUCUGAAAAAGAAUUAUAGACUUUGGUUUUGGACAAAAGUCUGAUCCGACCCCGACCCGAUUGGGUUGGGCUAAGCCGUUGCCAUCCGUAAGUGAAUUGUUGUCCCACUAAGCUUUGUCCUAACGUGUAGUGGGUUGACCCGGUUUGGAAUGUUCGCUGACAUGCCAAGUCAGGUUUAAUUGGGAUAUAGCGGGUAGUAACGAGCAUAUAUUCCCUAAACUAAAAAUAAAACUCAUGCUCCUAUCAAAAAAUAAAAAAAAAUAAAACUCAUGCAAACUGAAUCCAACUAUG
rnacentral:lncRNA from 1 species